rnacentral:tRNA from 1 species
GCCCUGGUGGUCUAGCGGUAUGAUUCUUCCUUAGGGCUAUUUCCUAACAACCCCCAUGGAAGAGGUCCCAGGUUCGAUCCCUGGCCAGGGCC